UGCUGUACUAGCACUAUAUCUUCUUCAUUCUUAGAAGCCUUGAAUGUGGAUUUUCCUAUUCAGACUCUGUCUUGUCUUGCAGAUAGAUCUCCAACGAAAUAGAGUGCCUCGCUCAGUCUGAAUUUAAAGAGUCUGUCGAGAAGGUCAUCAUAUAGAACUUAUACCCAUAAUAUAUCAAUAGAUGGUGGUUAACUAUGUAUUUCAUUACAAUGAAAAGCGAAGAGCUAUCGCAAUUGUUGCUAGUUCUCCGAGUUAUUUAUCUUACCCUUCGUAGUUUGAUUUCUUACUUUUCAUGCAGCAUGUAGAGCAUAUGACGGCCUGGGAACAAUUUAAAGUAUCUCCUGACUUGAAAAUUAUUUGAUUUAUAGUUUCUUCUUCUACUGCUUUCUAAAGGGUUUCGUUUUAUUUUCCCCCAAAAUGUUGAUCGCAAACAUUCAUGGCAUAUGGCAACACUGUUUAACAUGGCUCACAACCGAACUCAUCGAGGACAAAAUCAAUUUGCAAGAAAAAGAGAGUGAGAGAGCUAACGAGCGAGCAAGAAAUGGGCGGCAGAUAGAAAAUUUUAAGAGUCUUUUUCUUUGCCCAUUUUAGUGGCUCUUUGUCCUCAUGUCCGUCCGUCCGUGCGCCUUCUGUCUAUGGAUAUGUAAAUCGAGUAGAGCAAGCAAAAGUCAGUUUUCGUUGACAGCGGUAAAUGUCGUGUUGUAAUCAGUGACGGUACCGUUGGUCAGUGAAGUGAGAGUGAAUUGUCGUAGGAAAGUCCGAGUCGGUGCGGUGCAGUGAAAUCAAAAUUAAUAAAAAAAAGGAAAUGAAAAAAAGAAAGGCAAAAUAAAGCUAUAAGAGAAGAAAUGAAACAUAAAGAAAAACAAAAUAAAUAAAAUCCAUAAAAAGAAUAUGAGAAAAAUAAAAUAAUAUAAAACAAAGACAAAAAACAAAUACCUGCAUAAUCAAACAAAAAGCAAUAACGCCAGAGCAGCAAUAACAACAACAGCAAAGCCCCUAGUGAAAAUGAUAAACAUUUUUCUUUGCUAGCUGCCUUUAUUCUACAAAUAUUUGACUUAACAAAGUUUGAAAAAACAACAACUACAACAACAGAAGAGUUAUUCACGACAAUAACCAUAACACAAGAACAACAAUAAAGCAAAUAAACCCUCCAACAUAGAAACAAAACUGUCAUCUUUUUACACCAUACCCUCUAUAAUUUUCAUAAUAAAGAAAAUAACAACAAGUGAAGAGCACAUAAAUGAACACACUCACACACAAACACUGCUUUGGUUUUUGAUUGACUUCAACACCAGCAUAGCAGGGUAGAUUUUAUUUAAUUCCCUGUGGAGGCCAAAUUAACCACAGCCACCCCACACCAAAGACCAAUAAAGCGAGAGUGCAAUCUGUUAUGAUAUAUUCUGCAGAAGAAUAAGAACAACAGCAACAACAACUACAAUAGAAACAAAGUGACACGGAUAUCAGGCAACCCCCUUUAGACUUCAUUAUUUGAAAUAUACCGCCGAGGUCCUAUUGGCAAAGUCAUGAGCCGUGAAUGGUAGUAUGGCUACCAUUAAGGAAUCGCAAGACCCUAAUGUCGAGGAGACUUUAAGCAGCAUCAAUAAAAUAGAGAAAAUGGAUUCUUCAUUGGAUACACCGCUGGAAG
rnacentral:sRNA from 1 species